rnacentral:rRNA from 1 species
UAAGACGAACCGUGCGAACGUUGUUCGGAAUCACUGGGCUUAAAGGGCGCGUAGGCGGCUCGCCAAGUCAGGGGUGAAAUCUUUCGGCUUAACCGGAAAAGUGCCUCUGAUACUGGCGGGCUGGAGGGAGGUAGGGGCAUGCGGAACUUCCGGUGGAGCGGUGAAAUGCGUUGAUAUCGGAAGGAACGCCGGCGGCGAAAGCGGCGUGCUGGACCUCUUCUGACGCUGAGGCGCGAAAGCCAGGGGAGCAAACGGGAUUAGAUACCCCGGUAGUCCUGGCCCUAAACGAUGGGUACUAGGUAGUGGGCUUACAUGGGCUCACUGCCGAAGCAAAAGUGUUAAGUACCCCGCCUGGGGAGUAUGGUCGCAAGGCUG